GGGGGGGGGGGGGGGGGGGGCUGGGGGGUGCGGGGCGGGGGGACGGAGGGGGAGCGGGCGUGUCUGGUGGUAGCGGCGGACGGGGGAGUAACAGGUGGAUAGCCUACCUAGAAGACUGGGAUAACUUCGGGAAACCGGUGCUAAUACCGGAUAAUAUUUUGAACCGCAUGGUGCAAAAGUGAAAGACGGUCUUGCUGUCACUUAUAGAUGGAUCCGCGCUGCAUUAGCUAGUUGGUAAGGUAACGGCUUACCAAGGCAACGAGGCAUAGCCGACCUGAGAGGGUGAUCGGCCACACUGGAACUGAGAAACGGUCCAGACUCCCACGGGAGGCAGCAGUAGGGAAUCUUCCGCAAUGGGCGAAAGCCUGACGGAGCAACGCCGCGUGAGUGAUGAAGGUCUUCGGAUCGUAAAACUCUGUUAUUAGGGAAGAACAUAUGUGUAAGUAACUGUGCACAUCUUGACGGUACCUAAUCAGAAAGCCACGGCUAACUACGUG
rnacentral:rRNA from 1 species